rfam:Salmo salar isolate Sally breed double haploid chromosome ssa13, whole genome shotgun sequence.
AAAUGUAUGAAAUGUAAGUUGCUCUGAAUAAGAGCGUCUGCUAAAUGACUAAAA